GGGCUCGUGGUCUAGUUGGUUAUGACGUCGCCUUGACAUGGCGGAGGUCGAGUGUUCAAAUCUCUCCGAGCCCA
rnacentral:tRNA from 1 species